UUCAGUAUUAUUUACAAAGCAGUAAGCGAAUCUCUCAAAUCAGAAAAACACCUGCAGACGUCCGUCUCCUGCUCAAAAUGCCUCAAAACCAAAUAUCAGUGAACAUGUCAGGGCCUCAAAUGACGAGUUUUUGUUUCACUGUAGGGAUAAGAAGGUCGAGCUGCUUCAUCAUGUUGUCAGUAUAACUACUCUGCGGUAAACUACGGCUAAAGUUUUGAUGACAUUUAUUGCAAGUUGUAAUUGUGGGAGAUUACGUAACUGAAAGAUUUACAUUUAACCUUACUGACAUAGCGGUAGCUGCCAUUAACUUUGUCCUCUUUGUCCAUCCAUCCAUCUUUGUUUCUGCAGAAUGCCAGGGGUGAGAUUCGGGGUUCAUCCUGAUUUGGUUUUUCUUUCCGUAGAUCGUGCCUCUGGCCGGUGCCUCGGUGUUUAGCAGAGUUUCUGUUCUGGACAAAUCCACUGAAGAACCUGUUGCUGCCUUUGCUGGUUGUGUCUCGUACUGAACAUGAGUUUGUUAAAAGCUGGUGGUUUCUCUCCACUGUCACCACAUGCUUGACUCUGAAUGAGGGACUGCUGCAACGCGUUUGACUUCAGAUCUUUGAAUGCAAUGUUGGAUCUACUCCAUCUGGACCCGUGUUAUGAAUCUGUCUCACUGUAUGAGGAAAUGCACUUAUUUGUAUAGUAAAGUCCCGUAACAUGUUAUACGUUGUUGGCCCAAUGCUGAACUGAACUAAACUGAUUUUUUUAUAUUUCAUUAGA